UACGGAGGAGGCAAGCGUUAUCCGGAAUUAUUGGGCGUAAAGCGUCCGCAGGUGGCACUUCAAGUCUGUCGUCAAAGACUGGGGCUUAACCCUGGAAAGGCGGUGGAAACUGAAGCGCUAGAGUGUGGUAGGGGUAGAGGGAAUUCCGGGUGUAGCGGUGGAAUGCGUAGAGAUCCGGAAGAACACCGGUGGCGAAGGCGGUCUGCUGGGCAGUAGCUGACACUGAGGCGCGACAGCGUGGGGAGCAAACAGG
rnacentral:rRNA from 1 species